rnacentral:rRNA from 1 species
AUUGAACGCUGGCGGCAGGCCUAACACAUGCAAGUCGAACGGUAACAGGAAGCAGCUUGCUGCUUCGCUGACGAGUGGCGGACGGGUGAGUAAUGUCUGGGAAGCUGCCUGAUGGAGGGGGAUAACUACUGGAAACGGUAGCUAAUACCGCAUAAUGUCGCAAGACCAAAGAGGGGGACCUUCGGGCCUCUUGCCAUCGGAUGUGCCCAGAUGGGAUUAGCUUGUUGGUGGGGUAACGGCUCACCAAGGCGACGAUCCCUAGCUGGUCUGAGAGGAUGACCAGCCACACUGGGACUGAGACACGGCCCAGACUCCUACGGGAGGCAGCAGUGGGGAAUAUUGCACAAUGGGCGCAAGCCUGAUGCAGCCAUGCCGCGUGUAUGAAGAAGGCCUUCGGGUUGUAAAGUACUUUCAGCGGGGAGGAAGGGAGUAAAGUUAAUACCUUUGCUCAUUGACGUUACCCGCAGAAGAAGCACCGGCUAACUCCGUG